UGAUUCGAGGACCAUAACCUCAUUUUAUAUUGACAAACUUUUGUAAUUUUUAUUUCAUCCAUCAUAAAAUGAGAAUAUUACAAAAAUGGUAUCUGCACAUUACAAACUCAUACUUAAACUCGAUGCAUUAAGACCCAAUAUUGUUUAAGCAUAUUUGAUCAUUUUAAACGAACCCAUAAAAUUGAUAGUCUGAUACGAAUACCAAAGCCUACAUUAAACCCACAUUCAGAAAAAUUCAACAUAAAUCUCUAUACAUUUAAAAUUUUUCUAAAUAAAUACUUAAAAUUAAAAACUAGUGAAAGUCAUGUUCAGGCCAUAUGUCAUUCAUUAGUUGCUUAUUGAUGAUGUGAAAUUUUUUUUCCAUGUCGUCAUAUUAAAAAAAUUUUCAAGUUCUUUUCCUUUUUCUUCUUCUCCUUCUCGUCACAAUAACUAUUCCAUUCUGCAACUUAGACUUCUUAUACUGCGAAGAUUAUACUCCUAUAUUUGAUCUGGACAUUUAGCUUUCGACCAAUCAAAUAUACUUUGUCCUUCUAAAUUUUAAGUUUUAGCAGCACAUGAGGACAUCAAACAUGACAACUAUAGCCAUCAAAU
rnacentral:lncRNA from 1 species